rnacentral:rRNA from 1 species
GAAACCCUGACGCAGCAACGCCGCGUGAGCGAAGAAGGCCUUCGGGUCGUAAAGCUCUGUCAUCAGGGACGAAGAAGUGACGGUACCUGAGGAGGAAGCCCCGGCUAACUACGUGCCAGCAGCCGCGGUAACACGUAGGGGGCGAGCGUUGUCCGGAAUUACUGGGCGUAAAGGGUGCGUAGGCGGUCUGUUAAGUCAGAUGUGAAAGACUCGGGCUCAACCCGGGAUGUGCAUCUGAGACUGGCGGACUCGAGUGCAGGAGAGGGAAGUGGAAUUUCUAGUGUAGCGGUGGAAUGCGUAGAUAUUAGGAAGAACACCAGUGGCGAAGGCGGCUUUCUGGACUGUAACUGACGCUGAGGCACGAAAGCGUGGGGAGCAAACAGGAUUAGAUACCCUGGUAGUCCACGCUGUAAACGAUGGAUACUAGGUGUAGGUAUCGUAGGAUAUCUGUGCCGGAGUUAACGCAAUAAGUAUCCCGCCUGGGGAGUACGGNCGCAAGGUUGAAACUCAAAGGAAUUGACGGGGGCCCGCACAAGCAGCGGAGCAUGUGGUUUAAUUCGAAGCAACGCGAAGAACCUUACCAGGCCUUGACAUCCCUAUGACGCGUAUAGAGAUAUACGUUUCCUUCGGGACAUAGGAGACAGGUGGUGCAUGGUUGUCGUCAGCUCGUGUUCGUGAGAUGUUG